CCGGUUUGUAAGGAGGAGUUUGAGGUGGGAGGAGAAGCGAGGGAAUUGAACUGCAAGCACAUAUACCAUUCGGACUGCAUCGUGCCAUGGCUAAGGCUCCAUAACUCUUGUCCGGUGUGCAGGCAAGAGAUGCCGCCAUUGCCGCCAGCGCCGGAGAAUCGAGGACCGGGAAGUUCUCAGGACGGCGAAGGGAUUGGGAGAAGAUGUGCCCGUUGGUGGGGCCAGUUGGUUUCUAGGCCAUUUCGAAAUAGGUAUCGCCAGAUUACCCCUCACGACCAGGAGAACAUUCCUCCUCGAGAAGUAAAUUCGUGGGGUGGUUCAAUCUACCUCUCUUCCUUGGCCCUUCUAAUGUCGAUGUUUAUGCUGCAAGUAACCUGGUUUUUACUUGAACCUCUUCGUUAGGACUGUAAAAUAUAAACGCAAGUACGAAGGCACUGUGGAAAAGACAACAUAUCAUUACCACGGUGCAUUUGGAUUGAGAUUUGUCCUCAAUGAUAAAGUCUCCAACAUCUACCACUUCAUAUAUACCCAUUUAUUGUGUUAUCUAAAAGGAUGUUCAAUGUUGUAAACUAUGACAUUUUCUUACUACCCGUGACCCUUAUCACGUAAACUCAUUAAGAAAUGUGUUCUAGAACUACCAAAGAAUUUCUAUGUAAAUGAUAUAAUGUACUCAGUCUCCAAUUGGUUGAUAGAUUAAAGGUUAGC